CCCAGGAGUUGAAGUUCUGAGGCAUUCCAUUAAGCUAUCUCCUUAAGUGCCUGCUUUCAAUGCCUGUUCUCCUGAAUGGGCCUGGAAUAGGUGGCCAGUGGAGACUGUUGGAGGGUAGGAUCAGCUUUGCUGCUUCUUGGGUGCAAGCUGAAGAGGGAGUAGCAUAAUCUGGCAUAAGGAACAUUCCCCAGUGCACUUCACAAUUGGGUGAAGCCUCCAGAGUUGAGUUAGACCAUCUGAGAACUGGGAGACACUUUCCUGUUUCUAGAUGGAGGGAAGCUCCUGAACCUAAGGUUUCUUCGUGUUUUAGAACAUGUGAUUUGCCUAAGCAGCCUCUCAGUAGCACUAACAUGGCCCAAGACCAUCACCCAGAGUCCACGAGUAUCUCUGAGUGUAAGCCAAAAAGAAUCUCUCCUCCUAUCUCUUAAGGAAAUACUGGUCCUCAGUAGAACAUUUUCAUAAUAAAAAAGAAUCUUGUGAAUGAUUUUGAAUGAUA
rnacentral:lncRNA from 1 species